UUAGCAACGUUAAUCACGAAGGCGCACUCUGCGGAAUUCCUGCUCUGUCCUCUUCAUCUCCUGCUGCAGUGCCACGAUCUGGAGGUGUGAUCACGAAGGCGAAGUCCGGUAUCGAGUAGGCUGAGGCGCCUCGGCCGCCAAAGGGAUGGUGAACCCCGUGAUUCAGCUAGCCUGCAGGAUGAAAGGACAUAAGAAGAUGAAGAAGACCAGAUGAUGCCUUAGGAAGUAGGAAAGAAGAAGCACACGGAGAAUAAGUGUCAUCUCAGCUCAUCGGCUUCGAAGAGAAGGCAUUGAAGGAAAGGAAAACACUGAAGAUGUUAAAAAGGCCAGGAUCUUUGUUGUCUAACCUUAUCGAAGCAUUUGUCCAGCUUUCCAUCAUCAGCAGGAAGCUAUGAACGGUCUUCUGUAGACUUCUGUAUCCUACGAAGUCGGUCCUUUGGUAACAUUCAUCAUAGUUUCAGUUGACACAAUUUCUUGAGAUACCCAAGAAUGAGUUGCUACCUGCAGUUUGCUCCUUUGAUCUCUGCAAUCCGGGAGACUUCAUAUUGUCAAGAUUUAAGAAACAUGGCUCCGAGAUAUGUGGACAAGGCUGCAGCGCUAAGCUUUCCUGUCAGAGAAACAGCUUCAGUUCUCUAAGAUACGUGUUCGCAGUGCAACCUAAUGUCACAGCAGCCAAGCGUGGUCUCUAUUUUGUGGAUGUGUAUCUCCUGUUAAGCCCUCAAUUCUUCCUUGGAAAGAGAUGGGAGUGUGAUGUGCUGUGUAUCGACCCAAAUGAGAAUGCCAGGUGGAUUGGCAUGGCACCACAACAGUAAUUGGAAUUGAAUACUCCCAAUAUUUCGAUAUCUUUGGGGAUGUGGAGGGAGAGAAUUGGUGGCAGACAGCAGCUCUUGAGGAAUCAUGGUGGCUCACUUCACGUGGGUGAGGCAAGAAAGACAGGAACACAUACCAUUCUGCCAUUUGAUAUCCCUUGGCAUCUCAUCUCAUCCCAGUUGGAAGUAACCUGGAUUGAUCACCCUUCUUUCUUUCAGGCCACAAGCUAGGAAGCCUGGCCAAACUUGCUGAUUUUUAUGUGCUCUUCUUCUCCGAUCCUAGUCCACAGGAUUCGGAACACUGCCAAACUUGUAGCUUUCUGCCGUGGGUCUCAUACUUGGGUGCCUCAGAAUUCUAACUUCAAUAAAGUGGCAGUUGUUUUA